AGUAUCUAGUGAAACACACAUGCAAACGCCCUUCUGUCCCUCAUUCCCUCAAACUCGAUCUUCUACAUUUGUUGUGUAAAAAGGACAUAGCAAGUUUUUUGUAUCAAUGAUCACUUUAGGAUAUUCCAGUGCAUUUACAUUCAAUAUAUACUGUACCUUGAGUGAGGUAGAAAUGCAUAUUGUUGCAAAUAUAAAUACUGUUAAUUUGUUAUUUUUUGUAAUUAAUCAUUUACUGAAUUUCUUUGUAGAAUAUGUUACUAUUAUUUGGGUUUUUGUUCUCUGCAUAACUGUCUCUUUCACCUAUAUUAAUUCCUCAGCAUUCAAGAUGUUUGUAGGGUCCUCACCUCAGCUACCUCUCACAAGGUGCCCCUGAAAAAGAAAUUCAAGACGUUUGGGUCCUCAGCUCAACUGACCAAGACCUUUGCUCAUUGAAGGCAUGAAGUAAUUUGUGAUGCCCCCACGAUUGCAGUUUUUAAAUCCAGAUGGCUUGCUCUUUUUAACAUGUGCGAGAGCUGGAUGGUCUUUCAACAACACUGCUCCGGGUCUUCAGCAAGAAAGGUGCUUCUCAUGCAAGGAAGAUACAGAGGAUCCUGGUGCCCAUGACUCAGACUGACAACAUUGAUGUGAAGAGGGAGUGCAUGCUGAGGAGCUGACGGUCUACCUGAAUGAAGAGCCAGACAAAGUGGAUGUUGAUCUGGACGGUCCAGCUGAAACGUAUUGUCUUCGUGUGCGUGUGAUCGGCAGAGAGUCCUCAACGACAUUGGUAACGUACCUGUGGCCAUUGCAGUGUUUGUUUUGGUUUAUGCUCUUAAUCUCUGUUACCUUCCAGAAUGGAAGUACACUUUCAAAUUUCUGUUUCAUUCUAACCGUCUGUUUCAUCAGUUUUUGCACUGCUUUUAAAUGUACACUGUGUAAGAUUCUUAGUUGUUUAUUUCCAGAAUUCAUGCUACCCAUUCACUAAUGUUACCUUUUUCAUGAAUACUUAGCACCACCAUU